ACGGAAGGCAGCAGUGAGGAAUAUUGGUCAAUGGGCGAGAGCCUGAACUAGCCAUGCCGCGUGAAGGAAGACGGCCCUAUGGGUUGUAAACUUCUUUUGCCGCAGAGUAAUAAGUGGGAUGCGUCCCAUGAUGAGAGUAUGCGGCGAAUAAGCAUCGGCUAACUCCGUGCCAGCAGCCGCGGUAAUACGGAGGAUGCAAGCGUUAUCCGGAUUUAUUGGGUUUAAAGGGUGCGUAGGCGGAGCAUUAAGUCAGCGGUGAAAUAUCCCGGCUCAACCGGGAGGCUGCCGUUGAUACUGAUGUUCUCGAGUCCGAACGGCGCCGGCGGAAUAUGUAAUGUAGCGGUGAAAUGCAUAGAUAUUACAUAGAACACCGAUCGCGAAGGCAGCUGGCGAGGACGGCACUGACGCUGAGGCACGAAGGUGCGGGGAUCAAACAGGAUUAGAUACCCUGGUA
rnacentral:rRNA from 1 species